rnacentral:rRNA from 1 species
ACGGGAGGCAGCAGUGAGGAAUAUUGGUCAAUGGACGGAAGUCUGAACCAGCCAAGUCGCGUGAAGGAUGAAGGUAUUAUGUAUUGUAAACUUCUUUAGCAGUGGAGUAAUAAGGGGAUCGCGAUCCCUGAUGCAAGUACACUGAGAAUAAGGAUCGGCUAACUCCGUGCCAGCAGCCGCGGUAAUACGGAGGAUCCGAGCGUUAUCCGGAUUUAUUGGGUUUAAAGGGAGCGUAGGCGGGCCUUUAAGUCAGUGGUCAAAGCGUGUGGCUCAACCAUACCACGCCGUUGAUACUGGAGGCCUUGAGUGCACAUAAGGAUGGUGGAAUUCAUGGUGUAGCGGUGAAAUGCUUAGAUAUCAUGAAGAACUCCGAUUGCGAAGGCAGCUGUCCGGGGUGUAACUGACGCUAAUGCUCGAAAGUGCGGGUAUCAAACAGGAUUAGAUACCCUGGUA